rnacentral:rRNA from 2 species
AUCUACAACAAAAAUGACCGGAUCCCGUCCGAUCUCCGAAGUUAAGCAGUUUCGGGCUGGGUUAGUACUUGGGAGGGAGACCACUUGGGAACCCCCGGUGUUGUAGACU